rnacentral:tRNA from 1 species
GGGCCCGUAGCUCAGUCGGUAGAGCAACUGACUUUUAAUCAGUGGGUCGCAGGUUCGAUUCCUGCCGGGCUCACCA